rnacentral:ncRNA from 2 species
AGAGUAUGGCCACAUGAAUGACUCAGCGCAGUAUGAAGUCUUUGUUUUCUUCCGAAAACAAGCUCAAUGAGAGCCAUCGGGGGUAGAUCUAUCUCAUGACGAGUGGUGGAAUACUUUGACUCAUGAGAGAGAAGCUGAGGCGAAGGCGUCUACCUAGAGGGUUUCUGUCUAUCAAGGGCGAGAGUAGGAGUAUCCAACAGGAUUAGAGACCCUGGUAGUUCCUACCUUAAACGAUGCCGACAGGAGUUUGUCAUUUGUUAAUGGCAGAAUCUUUGGAGAAAUCAUAGUUCUUGGGCUCUGGGGGAACUACUACCGCAAGGCUGAAACUUGAAGGAAUUGACGGAAGGGCACACCAGGGGUGGAGCCUGUGGCUUAAUUUGAAUCAACACGGGGAAACUUACCAGGACCAGAUGUUUUUUAUGACUGACAGGCUUCGGGUCUUUCAGGAUAUUGUUUUUGGUGGUGCAUGGCCGUUGGUGGUGCGUGGGUUGACCUGUCUAGCGUUGAUUCAUCUAACGAGCGAGAUUAUCGCCAAUUAUUUACUUUGCCGAAGUCCUUCGGUUAAAGUUCUAAUUGGGACUCCCUGCGAUUUUAGCAGGUGGAAGAGGGUAGCAAUAACAGGUCCGUGAUGCCCUUUAGAUGCUCUGGGCUGCACGCGUGCUACAAUGUUAGGAUCAAUAGGACUGCGAGCCUG